GGGAUGGCGGGCAGGGGGCUCCCGCCCCGGCUAGCGGCUGCCAUGGCAACUCCGGCCCAAACCCCGGCCGGCCCUAACCAAAGGCUUGCCCCGUGUCCCGGCAUGAUUGGGGACGUGACCCAGAAAAAAAUAAGGCUGUUUACUGACUAAUAAGCUAGAUGAGUUCUUCCCAUAAUUAUUUUUUAGAUUGUCAACCUGUGCUAUGGACAAAUGGGAAAGACUCCCACCUGAUUGAAAUCCGUGGAGUCGUCCUCAUCACCCUGGGAUUAUCAGCACCAGUACUAUUUGCUGCUGCUCUGUUCUAGAGAUGGCCCUGCAGCCUGCAGCUAUACCGUGACAUAUAUAAGCAUUUGAGAAAGAGGCCUGUGGCCACUGAAGAGUAGUUCAAGAGCUAUAGACAUUGUUCAUUAUUCAUUUAUUCCUGAAAAGCCUUUUUCAUUCAGAGUUGGGAACUUGGAGUUUGAGGUUCACACAAAGUUUCCAGCUAAAGAAAGAGAAAAUAAAAGCAGAAUCUGGUUGUUAAAAAAAGUUUGCAUAAUCAAACUAUGUUGGCUUCCAAGGUAACCCCCCUGUAAAAUAGAGGAGACUCUAUUUCCUACAGAAGAAAAGGAAAAGAAACCUAGUAACUAGCAAAAUACUGAAAGAAUUGCAAACAUAAAUAAUAAAUUGAUCAACAAUUAUCAGAUUGUAAAGAAAUUUCCUGAAACUUAGGUUUUUUUCAAACUUGGACAAAAUUGUCAGAAUUAUCUGGGUAUAUUCUAAUAAAAAGAGAAGAAAAUAGGACAAAUGUCGAAGAAACACAUCUUUCAAAACACACUGGGACCUGUUGGAUUUACAAGGCAAUUUCCCCCUAAGUCUUUGAAGAAUAUAUUAUAGGAAUUAUCCUUGAUUAUUUAAAAGUAUGGUAUGUUUCUUGAAAUGAUCUUCAGAUGGAAAUGUGCUAGUAAUGAAUGAUACAGACAAAAAUGAUACAAAAAGAUAAGAAUAAUACAAAGGGUAAAAUGCUAUAAAAAAGAAAAACAAGGCCUGUUCUCGCUUACGAAUGUGAACACUAUAACAGCAACCAUUUAAUGUGGAACUACACCACACAAGGCACUUGUUAGCUCACUGAAUUCUGACAACAGUCCCUGAGGUAAGCGUUAUGAUGUCCCCAUGCUAAAAACUGGUAAAAUGACUCAUCCACAGUGACAAGCAACAGCACUACUAAAUAGCAGAGCAAGGAUUCUGAAGCAAUUUCCUCUGGUGGCAGAACUGACACUUUUAACUUCUCCCCAUGCUGAGUAAGACUGCUGUGAGGUCCAGUUCCACUGGAGCUCAGAUGUUUGCUCCACCCUGCGUACCAUAAUGCCUCUCAUUGAUGUGGGCAAGUUAACUAUAUGCUACAAAUAUAAUAUAGAAACUUAUGAAAAUAAUUUUAAAACUUGAUCAAGUAUUGUUUAUUCCAGGGGUGUAAAGAAUUUCAACAAAAAUGUUAAUAUUCUUGAAAAAUAUAUGAUUAUUCCAAAAUACGAAUUUGAUAAAAUCCAGUUCCUAUGUAUGUUUUUUUUGUUUGUUUGUUUUGUGUUUUGUGUUGUUUUUUUUUUAAACAGGGUCUGGCUAAGCAGUUCAGGAUGGCCUUGAACUCACUAUGUAGCCCAGG
rnacentral:lncRNA from 1 species